rnacentral:rRNA from 1 species
GACGAACGCUGGCGGCGUGCUUAACACAUGCAAGUCGAACGAGUGGCGAACGGGUGAGUAAUACGUGAGUAACCUGCCCUCUUUUUGGGAUAAGCCUUGGAAACGGGGUCUAAUACCGGAUAAAGGGGGAUGGGCUCGCGGCCUAUCAGCUUGUUGGUGGGGUGAUGGGCUACCAAGGCGGUGACGGGUAGCCGGCCUGAGCGGGUGACCGGCCACAGUGGGACUGAGAUACGGCCCAGAGUCCUACGGGGUGCAGCAGUGGGGAAUAUUGCAGAAUGGGCGAACGCCUGAUGCAGCGACGCCGCGUGGGGGAUGAAGGCUUUCAGGUUGUAAACCUCUUUCGCAAGCGAACGGGUAGGUGGAGAAGAAGCGCCGGCUAACUACGUGCCAGCAGCCGCGGUAAUAC